UGGUCUUGACAUCCUCGGAGCGCUUCAGAGAUGAAGUUUCCUCUUCGGAGGCCGAGUGAC
rnacentral:rRNA from 1 species